GCAAAACGCGAAGAACCUUACCCGGGCUUGAAAGUUACUGAAUUAUCUAGAGAUAGAUAAGUCCUCGGACGAGGAAACUAAGGUGCUGCAUGGCUGUCGUCAGCUCGUGCCGUGAGGCGUUGGUUAAGUCCGCACGAGCGCACCCUACUGUUUAGUUGCCAGCAUGUAAUGGUGGGACUCUAAACAGACUGCCUGCGUAAGCAGAGAGGAAGGUGGGGACGACGUCAAGUCAUCAUGGCCCUUACGUCCGGGGCUACACACGUGCUACAAUGGAUGGUACAGCGGGCAGCUACCUUGUAAGAGGAUGCUAAUCUCGAAAAAGCCAUUCACAGUUCGGAUUGAGGUCUGCAACUCGACCUCAUGAAGUUGGAUUCGCUAGUAAUCGCGUAUCAGCAAUGACGCGGUGAAUACGUUCCCGGGUCUUGUACACACCG
rnacentral:rRNA from 1 species